UACGUAGGGGGCUAGCGUUGUCCGGAAUCAUUGGGCGUAAAGCGCGUGUAGGCGGCCCGGUAAGUCCGCUGUGAAAGUCGGGGGCUCAACCCUCGAAUGCCGGUGGAUACUGUCGGGCUCGAGUACGGAAGAGGCGAGUGGAAUUCCUGGUGUAGCGGUGAAAUGCGCAGAUAUCAGGAGGAACACCAAUUGCGAAGGCAGCUCGCUGGGACGUUACUGACGCUGAGACGCGAAAGCGUGGGGAGCAAACAGG
rnacentral:rRNA from 1 species